UACCAGCACCCCGAGUGGUCGGGACGAUUAUUGGGCCUAAAGCAUCCGUAGCCGGUUUUACAAGUCCCCCGUUAAAUCCAGCUGCUUAACAGAUGGGCUGCGGAGGAUACUAUAAGACUAGGAGGCAGGAGAGGCAAGCGGUACUCAGUGGGUAGGGGUAAAAUCCGUUGAUCCAUUGAAGACCACCAGUGGCGAAGGCGGCUUGCCAGAAUGCGCUCGACGGUGAGGGAUGAAAGCUGGGGGAGCAAACAGG
rnacentral:rRNA from 1 species